rnacentral:rRNA from 1 species
AUUGAACGCUGGCGGCAGGCCUAACACAUGCAAGUCGAACGAGUGGCGGACGGGUGAGUAAUGUCUGGGGAACUGCCUGAUGGAGGGGGAUAACUACUGGACACGGUAGCUAAUACCGCAUACCAUCGGAUGUGCCCAGAUGGGAUUAGCUAGUAGGUGGGGUAACGGCUCACCUAGGCGACGAUCCCUAGCUGGUCUGAGAGGAUGACCAGCCACACGUGAACUGAGACAAGGUACAGACUCCGACGGUAGGCAGCAGUGGGGAAUAUUGCACAAUGGGCGGAAGCCGGAUGCAGCCAUGCCGCGUGUAUGAAGAAGGCCGUCGGGUUGUAAAGUACUUUCAGCGGGGGGGCGUUACCCGCAGAAGAAGCACCGGCUAACUCCGUGCCAGCAGCCGCGGUAAUAC